rnacentral:lncRNA from 1 species
CAGAGAGCGCCCUGGUAGAGCUGGUGGUGUUAAUGUUCUGCAGCAGGAGUGAAAUAGCCUGGAGAUGUGCAGUGCGACAUCAGGGGCGUGUGCCCUAAAUAGGAGGGUUAACCAGGGCUUAUUCAGAAGGAAGGCAGUAAUUGCAGCUUGUGUGAAGCAGUAAUAUUCUUUUGUGCAUUAUUUACCCAGGAACAUCUGCUAAUACAUAUACAUUCUAUGGUGCAUGUAAACAACCUGCGCGGGAAGAGGAUUAGGAGAUUUAUAAAAAAUUAGAAGCAAGUUAAAAGGGCAAUUAGAAGAGCAGAAAGAGAUAUUGAGCAGUGAAUUAGAGAGGAUAUUUUAACACACAAUCAGAGCUUCCCGAGACGUAUCCAGAGCAGAGAGAAGGUAAAAGAGAAAAUUGGUCAAUUACGACAUGAUAGCAGGGAAUUGGUGACAUGGGAGAAGGUAAUGGCUGAUUUGUUAAACAGUUAUUUUGAUUCUGUUUUCACAAAGGAGGAAGAGGAUGGAGGGCAGCUCCGGAAAGGACUCGGGCUGUGCAGAUGAGGCAGGGAACAAGCCAAGGAGCCUGCAGAGAAAAAAAGGCACAUUUGCAGAGCGGCUGGGCGUAGGUAGAAUUUCACCCCUGUUCACAAGGGCGAAAAGCAGACGGGAGCUCGGGUGCGGAUGGGCAGGAGACGAGGGCUGGCAGAGAGGAAUUGUAUCAGGCUACGAGACCUCAAGGAGACAGCAAGCUAUGGAAAAGGGAAAUAUUCCUGGUUGUGCAAUAGAAAACAUGAUCUUGGGAACUGUUCGUGGGGCUGGGCUUGAAACUGAGGCAGGCAAAGCACGAUGGAAAGCAUCGGCAAAGGGAGAGCCUAGGGGAGGCUGCACCUGAUGGACCACAGAAAUUGUUACAUUGGCUUGAAAGAAAUGUGAAGUGAUGCUUUUUUUCUGCACUGCCCCUCUGAAAGGGGGAGUGGGUCUCAGAGCUACUUUCUGGGGCAAAGGAAGCAAAUUGGGAACGGUGACGUGGGGGCACACGGUAAGGUGUUGUCUGGGCAGCGGUGGAGAAGGUACCAGAAGCUGCAGAGGUGUGAUGUCAGCUUAGCCUGGGGCGCCAAACAUUUAUUCUCAGCAUCCGAGAGGUGCUUGGUUUUCAUCCUGCCUGGGAGGACAAGAGACGCAGUGUCAUGUGCUUUGUGUUUUCAAAGCAUGUAGGAAAAGCUCUGUAUUAGCAAUUACAGGAUGAAACUGUGGAAAAGUGGUACAAUGGAUAGAAAAUUGGCUCUGACUCAGGAAACGGGAUUCUGCAGCCAUGAGCGAGUUUCCAGAGGCACAGUGUGGGGUCUCUUCUGGGUUCUCUUUCAUUUAAUUUUUUUUUUUUUUUUAUGGAAAGGAUUUGCAUGAACAGCCCAAAGUUAGAGCGUUAAAGCUCACCGACACAGCCAAAUAGAAAAGGGGAAGCAGGCGUGCUGGGAGGGCCUCGUCUUGUCCCCAGCACGGCAAACAGAAAGGGAAGCAGUGCCUGACCACAGCUCAACGAGCAGCCUGUCUGCCUGGACCCAGGGAGGGGAAUCACUGCCUGGCCAAAGGUGUGCUUGCCUUGGGAAUCCCUUCUUUCCCUCUCACAACGAAGGGCUAUGUCCAGGGCAGCACGGAGGGAGCUACAAGCAAGGAGGGUUUGGGUUUGUGCCCAAGGAGAAGCGCAUCCAUCCGCCUCCAGCCCAGCUCUGGCUCUGUGGUUAUCCCCGUGUCCGAAGGGAUGCACGCUUUGGGGUUGCGAGAGCGCUGCUUGGGAGAAAAAGGGAUUUCUGCCAGCCUCGGAGCAACGUGCAAAAUGCAUGAAGACAUGCUGUAUGAAAGGAUCGUGAGGCACGCACGAGAGCCAAGUGGGGCUGUGGUGGAGCCGCACCACGUGGAUGGGAAGGUAGCUGUUGAGGCUAAGUGUCAGAGCAUGCCAUAAAAAUUUAGUUUAUCCUCAAAGAGCUGCGGUUGUCGAGGAAGAAUGGGUGCAGGGAGGGGUGGCGGCAAAGGGAAGGCAGGAGGAACAUCAGAAACCUGUAGUCUGUGUCAAGUGACACCUCCUAUUUAGCAGUGUAUCACGUCUCCCUUCUGGUUUUUAAACAGUAGCCUUUAUUGCUAGGAGUUAGAGUGCUUGAUUGACAAGGCUUGUAAUACACCGUGGAGUUGCCUUUAUUUUUCCUACAUGUUAAAGGAAAAGAUACUAAAAAUACAAUUAUGGUUUUGAGCCAGGCGUAGUCUGUUCUAAUAUAAUUCAUCUCAAAGACUAUCCAUCGUGCCUGCUGCACCCAAAUCAUUUAUAAAACAUUAGCAUCUCCUGUGCUGACAUUUCACUCCUAUAUUACAGGAGUUAUACAGAGACUUAAAAAAAAAUUAAUAAAGUGCUUCUCCUCUUCA